GACGGACUGUCCUAACGUUGUUCGGAAUCACUGGGCUUAAAGGGCGCGUAGGCGGUCCGCCAAGUCAGGGGUGAAAUCCUGCAGCUUAACUGUAGAAGUGCCUCUGAUACUGGCGGUCUUGAGGGAAAUAGGGGUGUGCGGAACUUCCAGUGGAGCGGUGAAAUGCGUUGAUAUUGGAAGGAACGCCGGAGGCGAAAGCGGCGCACUGGAUUUCUUCUGACGCUGAGGCGGCGAAAGCUAGGGGAGCAAACGGGG
rnacentral:rRNA from 1 species